rnacentral:rRNA from 1 species
AAAAAUUAUAGAAAUAGGCCGAACAAGAGAUUAAACAAGUAAAAAGUUUACAGAAAAAAAACACUUCCUUGAAGAGUAAAAAUAUAAGAAACCCUAAAUAGACCUAAAAAGUACCGAAAGGGAAAAUUGAAAUAAUAUUUUAAUAAAAAAGAAUAAAAGUAGACCUAAAAAAACCUACCUCGUGUAUAAUGGAUUAACAAGUAAAAAGCAAGAAAAUGCCGAUCCCGAAACUAAGCGAGCUACUCUGUUCUCUUUUUUAGAAAGGACAAGGUACUGUUGCAAUAGUACCCACAAAGGACAGAGUAGAUGUGAAAUGCUAACCGCGCUAAGAUAUAGCUGGUUUUCCGCGAAAUUAGUAUGAGCUAAGACUUCUUAUAAGAAAAGAACCACAUUAAUAGUAUUAUUAAAACUUUGAAAUCUUUAGAAAGAGUCAGAACAGGAGGGAUAAACUUGCUGUUCAACAUGGAAAAAGCCAACAAUUUUAGUUAAGGUCAACAACAACAACAAACAGAUAAAAAAGAAAGGAUAGGCCUAGAAGCAGCCUCUUAAAACAAAAGCGUUAAAGCUUAAGCAAAACAGUAUCUGGAAAAUUUAUGAAAAAGAAACCAAAACUAUAAAAAAGUAACGGAACAAUCUUGUGAAAGAGAUGACAAUGUUAAUAUGAGUAAGGAAUUCUCAUUUGCAUAUUAGACGAAAAUAACCUUGUAAAAAGAAACAGUGAUAAUUUAAUAUUAGUUUCAAAAGACGUCUUCCAACGCAGGAGAGAAAGAAAAAAAAAAAAAAAAAAGGAACUCGGCAAAUGGUGCUUCGCCUGUUUACCAAAAACAUCGCCCCCCGCUAAACAGUUUUAUGAGGGGUCCUGCCUGCCCAGUGACUAAGGUUAAACGGCCGCGGUAUCUUGACCGUGCAAAGGUAGCAUAAUCACUUGUCUCCUAAAUAGAGACUGGUAUGAACGGCAAGACGGAGCUAAACUGUCUCUUUUUUUAGCCCUUAAAUUUACUUUCACGUGAAGAGGCGUGAAUAAAAUCGAUAGACGAGAAGACCCUGUCGAGCUUAAAGUAAAAAGUAAAAUUAUUAUUAGGAGUUAAAAAUCUCUAAUUAAUAACUUUAAGAAAUUGAAUUCUUUUAUGUUUACUUUAACUUUGGUUGGGGCAACCGCGGAAAAAGAAAACCUUCCGCUAGUAUAACUAUUAAACUAAGGAAAACCAUCCUAUUAUCUAAAACGAACACGUGAUCCACUUAAGGUGAUCAAAGGAACAAGUUACCGCAGGGAUAACAGCGUUAUCUUUUUUGAGAGUUCACAUUGACAAAAAGGUUUGCGACCUCGAUGUUGGAUCGGGACAUCCUAAGGGUGCAGAAGCUUUUAAGGGUUGGUCUGUUCGACCAUUAAAGUCCUACGUGAUCUGAGUUCAGACCGGCGAAAGCCAGGUCAGUUUCUAUCUUCGUAAAAAUUUUUCUUAGUACGAAAGGACCAGAAAAAAAGUGUCCAUGCAAACACUUGUAAACACUUCAAUUAAAAAC